AGGAGUCGAUAUUAAGAAUUAAACGAUGGACAGUCAGUGUGUGAAUUUUUCUUGCUACCUGAUUGGAAGAUAUUACGAGACGUGAAUAAUCAAAGUUUAUUGAUUGGUUAGGACAAUCCAAACCUAGUAAAUGUCCUUCAAUUCCGUAGAGUAUCGGAUUUGUCCUCUCUGUUUUAGCAAUUAGAUUUUGCCUGGUCAUUAAUCAUGCAUAUUCAUGAUGUUGGU
rnacentral:lncRNA from 1 species